AAGCAGCCUAUGAGCGUUGCAGAUCCGUUGCUUCACCGACUCGAGGCCUAGCAGCGCACAACGUUCCUCAUAGUUCAAUUUAGGACACUUCACGAGCAUAAAGCGAACUUCAUGAAUUUUCACUGGAUCGACUCCAAACGGGCCGAACAACUGAAAGCCACCAUACUAUCGAAACAUAUUUUAGCGCUGAACGCACGAUAGCACAGUACAGCGCCUUAAUGCAGACCAGAUCAGUGAUAUCGCGACCCACUUGUUUUGGACAGCCGAUCAAUUGGUUACCCUUUGCGACAACGUGCCCUGGCUGGUCACGGAAGGUAACUUUUUGUCAAGGAGCACUACUAGAUUUCUGAAACAGUUUCUGCGAUCAAUGGUGGAUCCAUUAACCGCGUAGUCAUACACUAAAAUCUCUUUCUUGCAAACGUAACGACAACACACUUCGCCGAUGAACAGUUCAAUACCAUUCGUAGAGCACCAAGAAUGCAAUGCACUUGUAGCGGCUUGAAGGUAGAGCUGCUCUGGCCGGUUGCGGAGUGAAAUUGAUGCAAGAAGUUAUUUUUAACGUCACUCAACAAAUUCAACUGUUGUACAGUUCUGUUUGCGUCGAUCGAAACUAAUGAUACGAUUUACAAACAAUCAUCGAUGAAAUGGUGCCCCUUGGCCAGGCGCCUGUCCAAGGUGUGGAUAGAAGAGACCAUAGAGGCAUAGUUCGAAUUCUCAUUUAUCAAUACCCCGAGCGGUGAGGCAGAAUUGAAAACGAAGGGUGCAAAGCCGAACAAAGGCGAAGGCGAUCGGAGUUGUGGCAAGUUUUGCCAUCGUUCACCUUCACUCUCUACGCAGAUGCUGGUGUGAUUGUGUGUGUGUCGAAGCGUGUGUAUGUGUGUGAGCGUAAAAUAUUGAAAAAUGAUUCUUUCAAUACGAACCGAUUGGGGAAUUCUCACACUGCUGGUGAAAUAUCCUUGCUGCUUCUGGGAAGGGUAAGAAAAUGGCAGCACUGGACGUAACAACUAUUCGAUUGGGAGUAUGCGAACUUUGAAAAGUAGCAGCACGAUACGACAGCAGAUUUACGUAUCAGGUGAAGGUUUAUAAACUUGCUUGCGUCUGGAGCGGAACAUUCGGCGGUUAGUGUCAGAUAAGAUGACGGGUUCAGAAGUUUGACUGCAUAGCUCGAGUUGACUGUCGACAUACGUCGACGUAAUGGAGUGGUUGAUCAACAUAUGUAAUAGUUUUAUAGUGUCAA